rnacentral:rRNA from 1 species
UGGGGAAUAUUGCACAAUGGGGGAAACCCUGAUGCAGCGACGCCGCGUGAGCGAAGAAGGCUUUCGAGUCGUAAAGCUCUGUCCUAUGAGAAGAUAAUGACGGUAUCAUAGGAGGAAGCCCUGGCUAAAUACGUGCCAGCAGCCGCGGUAAUACGGAAGGUCCGGGCGUUAUCCGGAUUUAUUGGGUUUAAAGGGAGCGUAGGCUGUCUAUUAAGCGUGUUGUGAAAUUUACCGGCUCAACCGGUGGCUUGCAGCGCGAACUGGUCGACUUGAGUAUGCAGGAAGUAGGCGGAAUUCAUGGUGUAGCGGUGAAAUGCUUAGAUAUCAUGACGAACUCCGAUUGCGCAGGCAGCUUACUGUAGCAUAACUGACGCUGAUGCUCGAAAGUGCGGGUAUCAAACAGG